rnacentral:misc_RNA from 1 species
AACCAUAGAAACCUGCGGAGUACCUGCGGAGGGAUCAUUAUAGUAUAUGGAAUCUCCAUUCUAUAAACCCACUCUGCGUAUCUUGUAACUGUUGCUUCCAUGGGACUUGGUUCCGCCACACCGGCUUCACGGCUGGUGAGCGCCCAUGGAAGGAGAAACAAACUCUUCUUUGAAAUGUAGUCAGUCUGAACAAGUUUUUAUAAACGUUAAAACUUUCAACAAUGGAUCUCAGAUCGGAAG